rnacentral:snRNA from 1 species
AUACUUACCUGGCAGGGGAGAUACCAUGAUCACGAAGGUGGUUUUCCCAGGGCGAGGCUUAUCCAUUGCACUCCGGAUGUGCUGACCCCUGCGAUUUCCCCAAAUGUGGGAAACUCGACUGCAUAAUUUGUGGUAGUGGGGGAAAAAAAAAAAGUAUUGCUCUUU